AUACGAAGGGGGCUAGCGUUGUUCGGAAUUACUGGGCGUAAAGCGCGCGUAGGCGGACUGAUCAGUUGGGGGUGAAAUCCCAGGGCUUAACCCUGGAACUGCCUCCAAUACUGUCAGUCUUGAGUUCGGGAGAGGAGAGUGGAAUUCCUAGUGUGGAGGUGAAAUUCGUAGAUAUAAGGAAGAACACCAGUGGCGAAGGCGGCUCACUGACCCGAUACUGACGCUGAGGCGCGAAAGCGUGGGGAGCAAACAGGAUUAGAUACCCUAGUAGUCC
rnacentral:rRNA from 1 species